GAUGAAGAACGCAGCGAAAUGCGAUAAGUAAUGUGAAUUGCAGAAUUCAGUGAAUCAUCGAAUCUUUGAACGCACAUUGCGCCCGCCAGUAUUCUGGCGGGCAUGCCUGUCUGAGCGUCAUUUCAACCCUCAUGCCCCUAGGGCGUGGUGUUGGGGAUCGGCCAAAGCCCGCGAGGGACGGCCGGCCACUAAAUCUAGUGGCGGACCCGUCGUGGCCUCCUCUGCGAAGUAGUGAUAUUCCGCAUCGGAGAGCGAUGAGCCCCUGCCGUUAAACCCCCAACUUUCCAAGGUUGACCUCAGAUCAGGUAGGAAUACCCGCUGAACUUAAGCAUAUCAAUAAGCGGAGGA
rnacentral:misc_RNA from 1 species